rnacentral:RNase_P_RNA from 1 species
UAUUUCGGGUAAUCGCUAUAGCAAUAUAGAGGAAAGUCCAUGCUCACACAGUCUGAGAUGAUUGUAGUGUUCGUGCUUGAUGAAACAAUAAAUCAAGGCAUUAAUUUGACGGCAAUGAAAUAACCUAAGUCAUUUGAUAUGGUUAGAAUAGUUUGAAAGUGCCACAGUGACGUUGCUUUUAUAGAAAUAUAAAAGGUGGAACGCGGUAAACCCCUCGAGUGAGCAAUCCAAAUUUGGUAGGAGC